rnacentral:tRNA from 1 species
UUAAUUGAAGCCAAAAAGAGGCCUAUCAUUGUUAAUGAUAAAAUUGAACUCAAUGUUCCAAUUAAG